rnacentral:rRNA from 1 species
CCUACGGGUGGCAGCAGUGAGGAAUAUUGGUCAAUGGCCGGAAGGCUGAACCAGCCAAGUCGCGUGAGGGACGACUGCCCUAUGGCUUGUAAACUCUUUUUAUAAGGGAAGAAUAAAUGCUCCGUGUACCAUGCUGCCUGUACCUUCUGAAUAAGCAUCGGCUAACUCCGUGCCAGCUGCCGCGGUAAUCCGGAGGAUGAGAGCGUUAUCCGGAUUUAUUGGGUUUAAAGGGUGCGUAGGGGGUUGUUUAAUUGAGUGUUUAAUCGCCGGGGCUUCAGCUUGAUUUGCCAUUAAUACUGUAAGACUCGAGUUCAGACGAGGUAGGCGGAAUAAGUUAAGUAGCGGUGAAAUGCUUAGAUAUAACAUAGAACUCCGAUAGCGAAGGCAGCUUACCAGACCGCGACUGACGCUGAAGCACGAGAGCGUGGGUAGCGAACAGGAUUAGAUACCCUUGUAGUC